AGCUGAUCACUGGGUGUAAAGGGUGCGCAGGCGGUCUUGUAAGACAGAGGUGAAAUCCCCGGGCUCAACCUGGGAACUGCCUUUGUGACUGCAAGGCUGGAGUGCGGCAGAGGGGGAUGGAAUUCCGCGUGUAGCAGUGAAAUGCGUAGAUAUGCGGAGGAACACCGAUGGCGAAGGCAAUCCCCUGGGCCUGCACUGACGCUCAUGCACGAAAGCGUGGGGAGCAAACA
rnacentral:rRNA from 1 species